AUGAACGUUAGCAAAAUGCCUACACAUGCUAAUCGAUUGGCUUGUUAAGAGUCAUGGUGUAAUGGUGAGUAAUACGUGCGAAGUCUGCAUCUUUGUUAGAAAUAGGCAAAGAAAUGAACGCACGUCAGAUUAGGUAGUAGAUUUUGUAAUGAAAUCUAGCCGAUGAUCUGUAGAGGUUUUUAACGAUUGGACCUCCACACUCGAAUUGAAAAGAGUUCGAGGCUUCAUUGGAAGCCAGCAGUGAGGAGACUUGGGCAAUGAGGGCAACCUUGACCCAGCAAUUUUGCGUUGGUGAUGACGGCAACUUGUUGUUGUAAAACCAUAACUUAGAGGAGAAAGAAGAUUGUACUCUAAGGGAUAAGGCCGACAAAUGCUAGU
rnacentral:rRNA from 1 species